rnacentral:rRNA from 1 species
GAUGAACGCUGGCGGCGUGCCUAAUACAUGCAAGUCGAGCGAACGGACGAGAAGCUUGCUUCUCUGAUGUUAGCGGCGGACGGGUGAGUAACACGUGGAUAGCCUACCUAUAAGACUGGGAUAACUUCGGGAAACCGGAGCUAAUACCGGAUAAUAUUUUGAACCGCAUGGUUCAAAAGUGAAAGACGGUCUUGCUGUCACUUAUAGAUGGAUCCGCGCUGCAUUAGCUAGUUGGUAAGGUAACGGCUUACCAAGGCAACGAUGCAUAGCCGACCUGAGAGGGUGAUCGGCCACACUGGAACUGAGACACGGUCCAGACUCCUACGGGAGGCAGCAGUAGGGAAUCUUCCGCAAUGGGCGAAAGCCUGACGGAGCAACGCCGCGUGAGUGAUGAAGGUCUUCGGAUCGUAAAACUCUGUUAUUAGGGAAGAACAUAUGUGUAAGUAACUGUGCACAUCUUGACGGUACCUAAGCAGAAAACCACGGCUAACUACGU